rnacentral:rRNA from 1 species
UACGUAGGCAGCAAGCGUUGUUCGGAAUUACUGGGCGUAAAGAGUGUGUAGGCGGUGUUCUAAGUUUGUCGUGAAAUCUCCCGGCUUAACUGGGAGGGUGCGGCGAAAACUGGAAUGCUAGAGGAUGGGAGAGGUAAGCGGAAUUCCUGGUGUAGCGGUGAAAUGCGUAGAUAUCAGGAGGAACACCUGUGGUGUAGACAGCUUACUGGACCAUUUCUGACGCUGAGACACGAAAGCGUGGGGAUCAAACAGG